GAUGAACGCUAGCUACAGGCUUAACACAUGCAAGUCGAGGGGAAACGACAUCGAAAGCUUGCUUUUGAUGGGCGUCGACCGGCGCACGGGUGAGUAACGCGUAUCCAACCUGCCCACCACUUGGGGAUAACCUUGCGAAAGUAAGACUAAUACCCAAUGAUAUCUCUAGAAGACAUCUGAAAGAGAUUAAAGAUUUAUCGGUGAUGGAUGGGGAUGCGUCUGAUUAGCUUGUUGGCGGGGUAACGGCCCACCAAGGCUACGAUCAGUAGGGGGUCUGAGAGGAAGGUCCCCCACAUUGGAACUGAGACACGGUCCAAACUCCUACGGGAGGCAGCAGUGAGGAAUAUUGGUCAAUGGACGGGAGUCUGAACCAGCCAAGUAGCGUGCAGGAUGACGGCCCUAUGGGUUGUAAACUGCUUUUAUAAGGGAAUAAAGUGAGUCUCGUGAGACUUUUUGCAUGUACCUUAUGAAUAAGGACCGGCUAAUUCCGUGCCAGCCGCCGCGGUAA
rnacentral:rRNA from 1 species